CUCACAUUGGAAAAAUUGGAAAAAAUUGGAAAAACACAGAGAAUAUUAGCUAAUAGCCCCUGGGCAAAGGGUGACACACAAAUCUGUGAUGCAGUCCAUGUUAAU